AUACGUAGGGAGCGAGCGUUGUCCGGAAUUACUGGGAGUAAAGGGCGCGUAGGCGGCGCUUCAAGUCGUCUGUCAAAUGGGAGGGCUUAACCCUUUUUCGCAGACGAAACUGGAGAGCUUGAGAAGCCGAGAGGCAAACAGAAUUACUGGGGUAGCGGUGAAAUGCGUAGAUAUCAGGAAGAAUACCAGUGGAGAAGGCGGUUUGCUGGCUGCAUACUGACGCUGAAGCGCGAAAGCCAGGGGAGCAAACGGGAUUAGAUACCCCGGUAGUCCUGGCAGUAAACGAUGAAUGCUAGGUGUGGGUGUCGAGAGGCAUCCGUGCCGGAGUUAACGCGAUAAGCAUUCCGCCUGGGGAGUACGAUCGCAAGAUUGAAACUCAAAUGAAUUGGCGGGG
rnacentral:rRNA from 1 species